rnacentral:rRNA from 1 species
UGGAUCCAGACUUUGAUUAUGGCUCAGGACGAACGCUGGCGGCGUGCCUAACACAUGCAAGUCGAACGGAGCUCCGCCCUUCGGGACGGAACUUAGUGGCGAACGGGUGAGUAACGCGUGAAGAACCUGCCUUCCAGUGGGGGACAACAGUUGGAAACGACUGCUAAUACCGCAUGAUACUUUUGAGGGGCAUCCCUUGAAAGUCAAAGCUUUAAGUGCUGGAAGAUGGCUUCGCGUCUGAUUAGCUAGUUGGUGGGGUAACGGCCCACCAAGGCGACGAUCAGUAGCCGGUCUGAGGGGAUGAACGGCCACAUUGGGACUGAGAUACGGCCCAGACUCCUACGGGAGGCAGCAGUGGGGAAUAUUGGGCAAUGGGCGAAAGCCUGACCCAGCAACGCCGCGUGAAGGAAGAAGGCCUUCGGGUUGUAAACUUCUUUUACCAGGGACGAAGGACGUGACGGUACCUGGAGAAAAAGCAACGGCUAACUACGUGCCAGCAGCCGCGGUAAUACGUAGGUUGCAAGCGUUGUCCGGAUUUACUGGGUGUAAAGGGCGUGUAGGCGGAGGCGCAAGUUGGGAGUGAAAUCUAUGGGCUCAACCCAUAAACUGCUCUCAAAACUGUGUCCCUUGAGUAUCGGAGAGGCAAGCGGAAUUCCUAGUGUAGCGGUGAAAUGCGUAGAUAUUAGGAGGAACACCAGUGGCGAAGGCGGCUUGCUGGACGACAACUGACGCUGAGGCGCGAAAGCGUGGGGAGCAAACAGGAUUAGAUACCCUGGUAGUCCACGCUGUAAACGAUGAAUACUAGGUGUGGGAGGACUGACCCCUUCCGUGCCGCAGUUAACACAAUAAGUAUUCCACCUGGGGAGUACGACCGCAAGGUUGCAACUCAAAUGAAUUGACGGA